rfam:Camelus ferus unplaced genomic scaffold scaffold1331, whole genome shotgun sequence.
GAGGGUAUAGUUCAGUGGUAGAGCGCGUGCAUAGCAAGCAGGAGGUCCUGGGUUCGAUCCCCAGUGCCUCCA